GUCGGAGACCGCGGCUAAGGAAUAAGGAGAAUCAGGUGUCAGAUACUUCGCACUAAGGAGGAGCUGUGUGAGCCCCGACAGUUUCCUCCCCCUCCCUAUACAAACAUAUGGGCACAUCCCUUGCUAUGCAGUAAGAGCUGGGGCUAAGGCAAAGCUGUCAGGUGUCAUAAAGCAACGGGAGCCGGGAGAUGCGCCUGUGAGAGGACCGCUUUCCCCGCAUCACCUCGCAGCAUUCUUACCCGGCCGCUUUGUUUCAUUCAUAGUCACCCACUCGCGCUACCAAGGUGAGUCCCUUACCGCCAGCUGCCCGGAACCAGUGGAGGAGCUCCGGGCAGCCUCUCAUGAUGUGCCUUGAGAGUGACGGAGUGGGCACGGGGGUCGGCAGUCAGGGCUGCAUUCCUGGAGCGGAGGAGCGGGGUUUGGAGACUCUGCCGGGAAGGAUGAACCCCAAUAGCCUGGAUGUGAAAGCCGUGGAGCUGGAGAGUGAGAGCAGCAAGCCGGACAAGGAAUACAGCUGGAAGCGGAGCAGUGUGACAGCGGCUGGAAUCCUCAGCGUGGGCAACGUGCUCAAUUACCUGGAUAGAUAUACAGUGGCGGGAGUUUUGCUGGACAUACAGCAGCACUUUGGAGUCAAGGAUAGUGGAGCUGGACUUCUACAGACUGUUUUCAUCUGUAGCUUCAUGGUGGCAGCGCCAAUUUUUGGGUAUUUAGGAGAUCGUUUCAACAGGAAAGUUAUACUCAGUAGUGGAAUAUUUUUCUGGUCAGCCAUCACCUUCUCAAGUUCCUUCAUUCCAAAAAAGUAUUUCUGGCUCCUCGUCCUUUCUCGAGGCUUAGUUGGUAUCGGAGAGGCAAGUUACUCCACCAUCGCUCCAACAAUCAUCGGGGACCUUUUUACAAAGAACACACGUACCCUUAUGCUUUCUGUUUUCUACUUCGCCAUCCCACUUGGAAGUGGCCUUGGUUACAUUACUGGAUCAAGCGUUAAGCAAGUUGCAGGGGACUGGCGCUGGGCCUUAAGGGUUUCCCCGGUGUUGGGCAUUAUAACUGGUACAUUGUUGUUAAUAUUUGUGCCCACAGCAAAGCGAGGCCAUGCUGAGCAGCUAAAAGGGAGCUCCUGGAUCCGAGACAUGAGGGGACUGAUAAAAAACCGCAGCUAUGUCUUCUCAUCAUUGGCAACAUCGACUGUAUCGUUUGCAACAGGUGCAUUGGGCAUGUGGAUACCACUGUAUCUAUAUAGAGCUCAAGUGGUACAAAAAGCAGUGGAACCGUGUAACAUUCCACCCUGCAGCACCAAGGACAGUUUGAUAUUUGGAGCGAUCACUUGUCUAACAGGCUUUCUAGGUGUAAUCAUUGGGGCUGGAGCAACUAAAUGGUGUCGUCGGAAAACUCAGCGUGCUGACCCACUUGUCUGUGCUGUUGGCAUGCUAGGAUCCGCCAUCUUCAUCUGCCUGGUCUUUGUUGCUGCUAAAACCAGCAUCGUAGCUGCCUAUAUCUGUAUAUUUGCAGGAGAAACUCUUCUGUUCUCUAACUGGGCCAUAACAGCUGAUAUGUUAAUGUAUGUGGUUAUACCAACACGGCGAGCAACAGCUGUCGCUUUACAGAGUUUUACGUCUCAUCUUCUAGGGGAUGCUGGUAGUCCAUACAUGAUUGGAUUUAUCUCAGACCUUAUCCAGCAGAACACCAGCAAGUCUCCUGUUUGGGAGUUCCUCAGCCUUGGCUACGCACUUAUGCUCUGCCCCUUUGUUGUCGUCCUUGGUGGGAUGUUCUUCCUGGCCACAGCCCUUUUCUUCUUGGAAGACCGAGAAAAAGCAGAGAAACUAGAGCCGUGCUCAGAUCCUUUCACUGUUGGCAACUGUAGUGACUCAGAAGAAGCUUCCAUCUUGUAGCCUUUAGGGUGAAUCAACUCAUGAUGCCAGCUACUGCUGUAAAGGUCUGAUAAGAACAACCCAGGUAUAUGGGGAAGAAUCUGGCAGCUCCUGGGAUACCUCACCUGCAGCUUGAAUGCUUCCUUUUGGGAAUUUUGUUAAAGAAAACAACUAAAAGAAAAUGAAGGAUCACCCCCAUCCCAAAAUCCCUUCAUUAUAAUCCAAUCAAUGAAUUAAACCGUUACAAAAAUAACUCACACUGGAAGGUAAAGUUGCCCAGUUUAUGAAGAAUUGAGACUAUGCAAAGUAACUCCGGACAUGUGAAGUAUUUCUCCUAAAGAGACCACCUUCUUCUAAUCUAGAGGAUUUGUUCCUAGCAGGUAAAAUGUAUGCACUGAAUCUUCAUCAUUCCAAUGUAUGCCUAUAGGACUGUAUACAUCGCACUGUGAUUGAUGGAGCAGAAAUCAACAACAGCCAUUGCUUCGAAUCUCUGACGUCUGUGCAGAAAUGCCAGCCACGUUGCUAAAUUUCGGCAGCAACUUUUUGCAGAGUUACAGAUCCUGCUAUCCCAUAAGAGAAUACUGGGAGCUGUAGAGAUAGAGAGAAAGUUAAAGGCAACAUAUGACAUAUUUAUGACAUAUUGUGUAUGAAGACAACAGAUGUAUGUAUACUAACUGUAUAUACUUCUUUUUUUUUUUUUUACAAACCUGUAUAUAAAUACAUAGAGAUAUAUGUAUAAAUAUAUAUUUUACACAUGCCAAAAUUUUAUUUAAACCUUGAGCAGCUCCAAAGGCUCACGUUUCUACUACCAAUGGAUAUUAAUGGAUAUUUAUUCUCCAAAGUCUGCAUUGCGACAGCUUUAAUAUUUAAUUAUUCAGCAAAAGCUAAAAAGUGAAUGUGUUACCUGUUUCUUUUUGUUUACACACUGCGUUAAAAAUGUGUGAUGACGUUUCUUCUUUGUUUAUGCAUCUGCUGGAAGAAAUGGAUUUGAAUUUUAGCCAGUCUAUGGUUUACAGUUUUGUAUGUAAUACAAAGACGAAGUGGGCAAACAUCAGCAUUGUAUGAAGAUGGUGACAGUGUUAGGUAGCAGAGGGUUUCAAUGUAUUGCAAAGAAGCAUGCAAAGUGAGAGGUUAGGUCUAAAAAAGAUUUAAAAAAAAAAAACAAGCAAUAAUGGUGGGGAGUGCAGCCAUAGGUUUUGUCUACAGGUUAUUUCCCACUUUACACAGUGAACUACAGCUUUCCUGACUUGACUUCAAUGGAGGCCAUGGAACAAAUGAGGUAAAUAACCCAAAUAAAACCAGCAUAAUGGUCUCCUGAAGUUCAGAUAAGCUCUGUUAGUAGAUUACUGCUAGAGUUCUGGAAAAACCCUUCCCACAAUGCCUGAGCAGCAGCAGCAUUAUUGAAUAACAUUCUGUCCAAUGCCUUCAAUCAUUCAACAAGCAGAGUUACUAAAAUUUGGAGCCAUAUUGAAAUUGUCAGCUAAAAUAUUGAGACAUUAAUCAGAUAGAAAUACAUGUUUACAAUUUGUUUAUUGUACCACAAUCUAUGAAAUACUUGUAGGUUCUGUAUCUUCCCUCUCAUUAUUUCUCUACAGUAAAUAGCUCACCUUUACAGCUGUUAUUGCAUUAGGCUUUCGUUAGGCUUGGAAGUUGGAAUGCCAAAUAUUUGCAGAAGUUUAUAAGCUCUUUUGCUUAUGGUGACCAAGAUCUGUAGAACAGACCAACCCAUUGUUACUUGCAGCCUUACUAUUCAUUGUACACAGAGCUGGAUAUUGAAAGUUUCAGGCACACGGCGCCCUGUUUCACAGCUUACAUCUUAGCUUUUGUGCUUGGGGCACAAAGACAUUAAACUUCUUAACUAAAGGUUUUGCCAACCCAUGGUAGGCACGUGCCCCCCGUCUCUCUUUACUGCAAUCAAAUAUUAUUACAAACCAAUACAACUUGCCUCAUAUAUUCUAGUAGCCUUCAUUAAUAUACCCACCAGAUCUGCAGCCAAUAACAUCAGCUUGUAAGGAUCAUGAAAUUAAAGCAUUUUUACACAAUUCACAGUUAGGAUACCGUCUACAGGAAGGGAUUUUUUCGGGCAUUUUGUCACCAUUGUGAUAUUUCCCUUAGGCUUUUUGCAAUUAGGUUUUGUCCAUCACCCAGGCAAUAAACUGUAGCAGUCAAAGCACCCCUUUCUACCUGUCAGUGCUACCCUUGGAGACGUAUGGGAAAUGUUUUGCCAAAGCCAGAACAUAAACCUAUAUAGGAAAUAUGUUUUGACUGCUGGUGGUUUCUGCCCAUGCCCAAUGGAUUAUUUGAUGCCUUUAAGGUAAAUGUGAUUUCCUGAUAGGUGAGGUUACAAUAUACACCUCCUUUACUAACGGAAAUUAGUUCCCCACUCAUAUAAUUAGGAACUGGUCUGUUAGUGGCACUAUGAGUGGCAGGGAUUAAUUGCAAACUGUGUCACGACUUUGAUAACUGGACAAUAUUUAAGCAGGAAUAUUUAAACUGGAAUUCUUUUAAUGUGACUGCUUGGCAAUACACAUUGCACUCCUUUGCGAUAUAUUGUAGCCUUCUCCAGGGAUGCAACAA